UAUAAAAUAAAUAAAAAAGCUUGGUUUGUGUCUUUUAUCGGUUAUACGUUACUUAUCACCGAAAUUAGCCUCAACAUCAGCAGGGUCUUAAAGUUUUGGCCACAAUGAGCAAACACGGAUAGACUACAAUGUGGUCGAUGAGUGUGCAAAUCAAAUGGUUCUGCCGGUCGUUUGGUUGCUGGCCCUGCGGCUGCUUUGCUUAUUUAGACUUCCCCGAAAGAAACCAAAUUUCAAACCGAUAUCAAAUGCCACAACCACAAGUGACAAUGCAAGAGCCCAUCCGUUUAAAGGCGUAACGGAAGAAGAACACGAAACAAAAUCAAAUCCAUAGAAAACCUCACAAUUUUGAAAUGUAUCUUUUUGCAAAAGUACACGUACUACAUGCCAUCAAGUGCGAUUGAAAGCGAAAUAAUAUGAGGGUCUUGUGGCAAGCUUAAUGAGGUAUAAGAAAACUUAGAAAUUUAGUUCUUGAUGAAACCGCAAAGAUGGAUUUUGUA
rnacentral:sRNA from 1 species